rnacentral:rRNA from 1 species
UCCGGUUGAUCCUGCCGGACCCCACUGCUAUCGGGAUAGGACUAAGACAUGCUAGUCGAGCGCUCUUCAGCCAUGAUAAGAGCGCGGCACACAGCUCAGUAACACGUGGCUAACCUGCCCUCGGGACGGGAACACCCCCGGGAAACUGGGGCUAAUUCCCGAUAGGCGAAGAACUCUGGAAUGAGUCUCCGCCCAAAAGACGCUUAGAUCACGCUUUUAAGCGCCGCCCAAGGAUGGGGCCGCGACCGAUCAGGUUGUUGGUGAGGUAACGGCCCACCAAGCCUUUUACCGGUGCGGGCCGUGGGAGCGGGAGCCCGGAGAUGGGCACUGAGACAAGGGCCCAGGCCCUACGGGGCGCAGCAGUCGCGAAAACUUUGCAAUAAGCGAAAGCUUGACAGGGCUAUCCCGAGUGCCAUCCGCUGAGGAAGGCUUUUACCCAGUCUAGAACGCUGGGAGAAUAAGGAGAGGGCAAGUCUGGUGUCAGCCGCCGCGGUAAUACCAGCUCUCCGAGUGGUGUGGAUGUUUAUUGGGCCUAAAGCAUCCGUAGCUGGCCAGGCAAGUCCCCUGUUAAAUCCACCGAAUCAAUCGUUGGAUUGCGGGGGAUACUGCUCGGCUAGGGGACGAGAGAGG